GACGAACGCUGGCGGCGUGCUUAACACAUGCAAGUCGAACGAAGAGCGAUGGAAGCUUGCUUUUAUCAAUCUUAGUGGCGAACGGGUGAGUAACGCGUAAUCAACCUGCCCUUCAGAGGGGGACAACAGUUGGAAACGACUGCUAAUACCGCAUACGAUCUAAUCUCGGCAUCGAGGAUAGAUGAAAGGUGGCCUCUACAUGUAAGCUAUCACUGAAGGAGGGGAGUGCGUCUGAUUAGCUAGUUGGAGGGGUAACGGCCCACCAAGGCGAUGAUCAGUAGCCGGUCUGAGAGGAUGAACGGCCACAUUGGGACUGAGACACGGCCCAGACUCCUACGGGAGGCAGCAGUGGGGAAUCUUCCGCAAUGGACGAAAGUCUGACGGAGCAACGCCGCGUGAGUGAUGACGGCCUUCGGGUUGUAAAGCUCUGUUAAUCGGGACGAAAGGCCUUCUUGCGAAUAGUGAGAAGGAUUGACGGUACCGGAAUAGAAAGCCACGGCUAACUACGUG
rnacentral:rRNA from 1 species